GAUGAAGAACGCAGUGAAAUGCGAUAAGUAGUGUGAAUUGCAGAAUUCAGUGAAUCAUCGAAUCUUUGAACGCACAUUGCGCCUUCUAGUAUUCUGGGAGGCAUGCCUGUUUGAGCGUCAUUAAACCUCUCUCAAGUAUGAUUACUUGGAUGUGAAGGAAGAGUACCUUAAACUUAAGGAGUGUUCUCCUUUGAAAUUGAUUAGCAGAUGGUAAUGUUAUUAAAUCCCUGAUGUUGUAAGAAAUAACAGUGGUUUUGUAGACUAUUAUCUAGCUUUAAAUUAUAAUUUUUAUUAUGGUUGACCUCAAAUCAGGUAAGGAUACCCGCUGAACUUAAGCAUAUCAAUAAGCGGAGGA
rnacentral:misc_RNA from 1 species